rnacentral:rRNA from 1 species
AGAGUUUGAUCCUGGCUCAGAACGAACGCUGGCGGCGCGCCUAAUACAUGCAAGUCGAGCGAGAAGGUGUAGCAAUACACUUGUAAAGCGGCGAACGGGUGAGGAAUGCAUGGGUAACCUACCCUCGAGUGGGGAAUAACUAGCCGAAAGGUUAGCUAAUACCGCAUACGUUUCCGGAACUUAGGUUUCGGAAAGAAAGCAAUACCGUGGGUAUUGCGCUCAUGGAUGGGCUCAUGUCCUAUCAGCUUGUUGGUGAGGUAACGGCUCACCAAGGCUUCGACGGGUAGCUGGUCUGAGAGGACGAUCAGCCACACUGGCACUGCGACACGGGCCAGACUCCUACGGGAGGCAGCAGUAAGGAAUAUUGCGCAAUGGACGAAAGUCUGACGCAGCGACGCCGCGUGGGGGAUGAAGGUCUGUCGGAUUGUAAACCCCUUUCGGGAGGGAAGA